ACGUACACUCCUACGGGAGGCAGCAGUGGGGAAUAUUGCACAAUGGGCGCAAGCCUGAUGCAGCCAUGCCGCGUGUAUGAAGAAGGCCUUCGGGUUGUAAAGUACUUUCAGCGGGGAGGAAGGCGAUAAGGUUAAUAACCUUGUUGAUUGACGUUACCCGCAGAAGAAGCACCGGCUAACUCCGUGCCAGCAGCCGCGGUAAUACGGAGGGUGCAAGCGUUAAUCGGAAUUACUGGGCGUAAAGCGCACGCAGGCGGUCUGUCAAGUCGGAUGUGAAAUCCCCGGGCUCAACCUGGGAACUGCAUUCGAAACUGGCAGGCUAGAGUCUUGUAGAGGGGGGUAGAAUUCCAGGUGUAGCGGUGAAAUGCGUAGUGAUCUGGAGGAAUACCGGUGGCGAAGGCGGCCCCCUGGACAAAGACUGACGCUCAGGUGCGAAAGCGUGGGGAGCAAACAGGAUUAGAUACCCGAGUAGUCCCA
rnacentral:rRNA from 1 species